UUAGCCUGAAUUCAGUUUGAUAGUGACAAACUGACGGAUAAAUUCAGUAGCAUACUUUGUUUACUUGAUUCGGGGUCAAAGGAUUUGUACAUGUAAGUGGCGAUUAUACCUUCAAUAGCUGAAUUUGGGUUGUGUCUUUGAAUCACGGAUGGAUUCGUCGCUUAUACUGUACGCAGAGAUUAGAAAGUGUGAUGGAUCAGUGAUGGAAUCGUCGCCUGCGUCCGCGCCGGCCGCCGCCACGCGCACCUGAGAUCGAUCGGCGAUUAGGCGACGACAACUCUCUCGGACCUGGCCGCCGUGCAGUGCCGAUCAGCGGUUGGCGGCUCCGCUCGGGUCGCUCCGCCUCCGCUCGGUACGCAAGCGCUGUGGAUUUUCCUGAUAGAUCGUGUAUUCUGUUCUCUGUUCUGGUACGUGCUGCAGCAGU
rnacentral:lncRNA from 1 species